GGAAAGACCAGUAGAGAGGAAAGAGAAACGGGAACUGGAGGAAGAGAGAAAGUGAGGAGGAGAAUGGAAAGAGAGAGGGGGGGAGGGAAUAACAGUCGUGGAGAGACAAGGAGAGAGAAGAGAAAGAGUGAGGAAGAGAUUGAGUGAGAGGGGAGUCAGAGACUGCAGAAGAGAGAAAGUGGGAAGGAAUGAGAGAGACACUCAGGCACAGACUCUAAACCUGAGAGAAAAAAAGAUUUGGGCUGAAGAAAGACUGGAAAGAGACAGACUGGGAAGAGAGAAAUAGAAAGUGAGACUGGGGAAAGAGACGAUCUAAAAGAAAAGUUGAGUGCGAGAAGGAAAAAAGAGAGAGAGGAGAGAGAGCACAAGACAGUAGACAAAGCAGUGAGAGGGUGCGGGAGUGCUCAGGUGAGGACAGGGACCUGAACUAUGAGGCCCAGUGCUUGAGAGACUGGGGAGGGGGGACUGCAACCGGCGCCCCUCAUCCACAGCUCCUCUCCCUGUCACUGGGAGCCCAGAGCUGGCAGGGUCGGCUGCAGAGCCUCAGCUCUCUCUGCCCCGGGGCUGGAUGGAGGAGGGCCGACCUCGGAGCAGCCUCAGCCUGGCCAGCAGCGCCUCCACCUCUCUUCGCUCAGCACCCUGAGCGCCAAGAAGCCGGCCCGGGCAGUAAACAAGGUCCACACCUUUGGGGAAGAGGAGCAAUGCGCUCCGAAGGGACCCCAACCUGCCUGUACACAUCCGAGGCUGGCUUCACAAGCAGG
rnacentral:lncRNA from 1 species